GCUGAAGGGGCGAGCCAAAAGACAGACAGCCAAUAAGGACGACAGGCUAUUGUUUGCAUUCCCCUUAAAUGUGACUUGGUUCGCCCAUGAUUGCACUUACUCGCAUUUAAUUACUCUGGUGGUGCUCUCAAGUAAGGAUUGCAUUUGAGAUUUUCUGAGAUUUAGUGUCAGUCAUGGAAAGUGUUCAAAGAAAACAUGUUUUGGAGAGCUCGGUGGUGCACGGGGUAAUUCCAGUCCAUCAAUCUGGCGUUUGUCGGAAUUUAUUUGGACCAAUCGAUAAUGACCAGUUGAGCCGCGAAUUGAAAGCAAAAUUGAAAGACAUUCACGAACAGGACAAAUGUAGGUGGAAUUUCAAUUUCGAGACUAAUAUGCCCCUGGUUGGAAGAUAUCAGUGGGAAGAACUGAACUCAUCCUCUGGACUAUAUCAGGAGUUGACACAUGUCGAAGAAAAGGAUGUUGGAGGGAACGUCGAUUAUAGGGACACUUGUGUUAUUGAAGAAACUGUAGGCCUACCUUUUUUAAUUGAGGUAAACCAAGAGAAUUGCUUUAAUAUCUCUAAUACAGCGGAACAUAGUCCUGUCACCCGACAGACAAAGAAACCCCACCCCAACAACAAUACACAAAUAACAGAUUUCUUUGUAAAGAGGAAAAGAACUUCGGAGACGAAGGGCACCAUUUUUCUCUCGCAUUUGCCACUGAGGAAACUCCACGCCAAAGAAUACGAUAGAGAAGGAAAUAACGUCAUCCGAUUCAGAUAAACUACGUCCAAAUUAAUACAACACAUUGAUUUGCACAAUUUCCAAUUAAGAUUAGGCUACCCUAUAACCCCAGGAGUCAGCAAAACGUAGCCAUAUGAGGCCUAUCGGACUUAAAUGCACUAUUGUCACCGGGUUCAAAAUGUUUGUGUACAUCUUUUGUAUCAACCCAUUUUUUGUAGGUAUUUAUAAUUUAUUUCGUUGUAUGUUUAUUUUAUUUAUAUAUCAUAUUUAAUUUCUUUUUGUAGCUGUAGGCCUACACCUUUUGUUUCUGUGUGUCUGAGACGGUAAUUUAUUUGUGUCCAAUUGUAUCACGUGAAAAAACGCAUUAAAAACAUCUUCUAUACCUUUUCAUAUUA